CAGUCGCCGCGGUAAAACCAGCACCUCGAGUGGUCAGGAGGUUUAUUGGGCCUAAAGCAUCCGUAGCCGGUUGCAUAAGUUUUCGGUUAAAUCUAUGCGCUUAACGUAUAGGCCGCCGAAAAUACUGUGCAGCUAGGGAGUGGGAGAGGUACACGGUACUCGAUAGGAAGGGGUAAAAUCCUUUGAUCUAUUGAUGACCACCUGUGGCGAAGGCGGUGUACCAGAACACGUUCGACGGUGAGGGAUGAAAGCUGGGGGAGCAAACCGGAUUAGAUACCCGCGUAGUCCCUGUCUCUUAUAC
rnacentral:rRNA from 1 species